rnacentral:rRNA from 1 species
UCGCCUGCAUGAAGUUGGAAUUGCUAGUAAUCGCGAAUCAGAAUGUCGCGGUGAAUACGUUCCCGGGCCUUAUACACACCGCCCGUCACACCAUGAGAGUCGAUAACACCCGAAGCCUGUGAGCUAACCGCAAGGAGGCAGCAGUCGAAGGUGGGGGUUGAUGAUUGGGGUGAAGUCGUAACAAGGUACC